UACGAAGGAUGCAAGCGUUAUCCGGAUUCAUUGGGCUUAAAGGGAGCGUAGGUGGCCUUAUAAGUCAGUGGUGAAAUCUCUCAGCUUAACUGAGAAAUUGCCAUUGAUACUGUAGGGCUUGAGUACAGAUGCCGUUGGCGGAAUAUGACAUGUAGUGGUGAAAUACAUAGAGAUGUCAUAGAACACCGAUUGCGAAGGCAGCUGACGGAACUGUAACUGACACUGAGGCUCGAAAGUGCGGGGAUCAAACAGG
rnacentral:rRNA from 1 species